rnacentral:lncRNA from 1 species
AGACAAUAUUACCCCCAGCACUAUCCCCGGCUAUGAAUAAUCUGUUAAAAUCACCAUGGUUUGCUAUCCAUGGUUCGGCGUCUUUACCGGCGGCGUGUGAAGCCACCCACUGAAGGGCAUCCCAGCAGUCUUGAUAAAGUGUGGGCAGGUCAUGUUCUGGGGCAAGGCGAUAAUUCACAGAAAUAGCAAUGCAUUUUGAUUCAGAAACCAAAUGGUUGAGGUAACGGUGUUCCGUUUGGAAGAAGGCGGAUCCGGCAACUAGUCCUCCGCCGUGGUAGUAAACUAAGACGGGUAGCUUUUGAUCGGCGAUAGUGUUUUUGGGAAGGUAAAGUCUGGCGGAGAUAUGAGGGGAAAUGGUCACGUCUUUGGAUGAAACGCCGGUGUCUGGAUCUUCUAACGAGGGAGGAACUUCAACUAUGCCGUAAAGUUCGUAAAAACGAUGGACUCGGCCGUUUUUAUAGAGUCGGU